rnacentral:rRNA from 1 species
AACAGUGACUAAUACCGGAUAAAACCCAAGUGCACAUGCACUAAGGUUAAAAGCUGCGUUUGCAGCGCUUUAAGAUGGAUUCGCGGUGCAUUAGUUAGUUGGUGAGGUAAAGGCUCACCAAGACGAUGAUGCAUAGCCGAGUUGAGAGACUGACCGGCCACAUUGGGACUGAGACACGGCCCAAACUCCUACGGGAGGCUGCAGUAGGGAAUCUUCCACAAUGGGCGCAAGCCUGAUGGAGCAACGCCGCGUGUGUGAUGAAGGCUUUCGGGUCGUAAAGCACUGUUGUAUGGGAAGAACGGGUUUAAGAGGAAAUGCUUAGACAGUGACGGUACCAUACCAGAAAGGGACGGCUAAAUACGUGCCAGCAGCCGCGGUAAUACGUAUGUCCCGAGCGUUAUCCGGAUUUAUUGGGCGUAAAGCGAGCGCAGACGGUUGCUUAAGUCUGAAGUGAAAGCCCACAGCUCAACUGUGGAAUGGCUUUGGAAACUGGGCAACUUGAGUACAGUAGAGGUAAGUGGAACUCCAUGUGUAGCGGUGGAAUGCGUAGAUAUAUGGAAGAACACCAGUGGCGAAGGCGGCUUACUGGACUGCAACUGACGUUGAGGCUCGAAAGUGUGGGUAGCAAACAGGAUUAGAUACCCUGGUAGUCCACACCGUAAACGAUGGAUACUAGUUGUUAGAGGGUUUCCGCCCUUUAGUGACGAAGCAAACGCAUUAAGUAUCCCGCCUGGGGAGUACGACCGCAAGGUUGAAACUCAAAGGAAUUGACGGGGACCCGCACAAGCGGUGGAGCAUGUGGUUUAAUUCGAAGCAACGCGAAGAACCUUACCAGGUCUUGACAUCCUUUGAAGGUACUAGAGAUAGUACUGUCUUCUUCGGAAGCAAAGUGACAGGUGGUGCAUGGCCGUCGUCAGCUCGUGUCGUGAGAUGUUGGGUUAAGUCCCGCAACGAGCGCAACCCUUAUGUUUAGUUGCCAGCAUUCAGUUGGGCACUCUAGACAGACUGCCGGUGACAAACCGGAGGAAGGCGGGGACGACGUCAGGUCAUCAUGCCCCUUAUGACCUGGGCUACACACGUGCUACAAUGGCGUAUACAACGAGCAGCAAACCUGUGAAGGUAAGCGAAUCUCUUAAAGUACGUCUCAGUUCGGAUUGUAGUCUGCAA